rnacentral:rRNA from 1 species
UUUUGCGCAAUGGGGGAAACCCUGACGCAGCAACGCCGCGUGCGGGAUGACGGCCUUCGGGUUGUAAACCGCUUUCAGUAGGGAAGAACAUCGACGGUACCUACAAAAGAAGCCCCGGCUAACAACGUUCCAGCAGCCGCGGUAAUACGUAGGGGGCAAGCGUUAUCCGGAUUCAUUGGGCGUAAAGCGCGCGUAGGCGGUUGCCUAAGCGGGACCUCUAAUCUUAGGGCUCAACCUUAAGCCGGGUCCCGAACUGGGUGACUUGAGUGCGGUAGAGGAAAGUGGAAUUCCCGGUGUAGCGGUGGAAUGCGCAGAUAUCGGGAAGAACACCGAUGGCGAAGGCAGCUUUCUGGGCCGCCACUGACGCUGAGGCGCGAAAGCUAGGGGAGCA